rnacentral:rRNA from 1 species
ACUCCUACGGGAGGCAGCAGUGGGGAAUUUUGGACAAUGGGCGAAAGCCUGAUCCAGCAAUGCCGCGUGAGUGAAGAAGGCCUUCGGGUUGUAAAGCUCUUUUGUCAGGGAAGAAACGGUGAGAGCUAAUAUCUUUUGCUAAUGACGGUACCUGAAGAAUAAGCACCGGCUAACUACGUGCCAGCAGCCGCGGUAAUACGUAGGGUGCAAGCGUUAAUCGGAAUUACUGGGCGUAAAGCGUGCGCAGGCGGUUUUGUAAGUCUGAUGUGAAAUCCCCGGGCUCAACCUGGGAAUUGCAUUGGAGACUGCAAGGCUAGAAUCUGGCAGAGGGGGGUAGAAUUCCACGUGUAGCAGUGAAAUGCGUAGAUAUGUGGAGGAACACCGAUGGCGAAGGCAGCCCCCUGGGUCAAGAUUGACGCUCAUACACGAAAGCGUGGGGAGCAAACAGGAUUAGAAACCCGAGUAGUCCCAUGAU